UCAACCCUCAAGCCUGGCUUGGUGUUGGAUCAAACCCCCUUUACGGGCGGGUCGGUCCCAAAGAUAAUGGCGGGUCGACGUGAGACCUCGGUACAAUGAGCUCGUUAAACAGCACGUAUCGUCAGGGACCACUCGGCCUGGCCUAACCCCCCAAUUUUUACAA
rnacentral:misc_RNA from 1 species